AUACGGAGGGUGCAAGCGUUAAUCGGAAUUACUGGGCGUAAAGCGUACGUAGGCGGUUAUUUAAGUCAGAUGUGAAAGCCCCGGGCUCAACUUGGGAACUGCAUUUGAAACUGGGUAACUAGAGUUUAGUAGAGGGGAGUGGAAUUUCAGGUGUAGCGGUGAAAUGCGUAGAGAUCUGAAGGAACACCAGUGGCGAAGGCGACUCCCUGGACUAAAACUGACGCUGAGGUACGAAAGCGUGGGUAGCAAACAGGAUUAGAAACCCUAGUAGUCC
rnacentral:rRNA from 1 species